rnacentral:rRNA from 1 species
ACACAUGCAAGUCGAACGGACAAUUGUUUAUAUCUUUGGUAUAAAUAAUUGUUAGUGGCAGACGGGUGAGUAAUGCGUAGGAAUCUACCUAGUAGUAUGGAAUAGCCAUUAGAAAUGAUGGGUAAUACUGUAUAAUCCCUGCGGGGGAAAGAUUUAUCGCUAUUAGAUGAGCCUACGUUAGAUUAGCUAGUUGGUAAGGUAAUGGCUUACCAAGGCUAUGAUCUAUAGCUGGUCUGAGAGGACGAUCAGCCACACUGGAACUGAGAUACGGUCCAGACUCCUACGGGAGGCAGCAGUGGGGAAUAUUGGACAAUGGGCGAAAGCCUGAUCCAGCUAUGCCGCGUGAGUGAAGAAGGCCUUCGGGUUGUAAAGCUCUUUCAAUAGGGAAGAUAAUGACGGUACCUAUAGAAAAAGUCCCGGCAAACUC